GCCGACGUGGCUCAGUGGCAGAGCGAGCCCUUGGUAAGGGCUAGGUCGUGGGUCCGAUUCCCACCGUCGGCU
rnacentral:tRNA from 1 species